CUUUAGUCUUGAACUCUCCUAAAGGUGGGGGAUCUUAACUGCAUUUGCAAUUACCAGAAAAGGUAAAUAAAUGGUAAACCGCUGAAUCCACUGGCAAUCCAAAUUGCGAGAUUUAAAGCUGGGCUGGGAAUUUGAGAAAAAUAGAGUUGGUAAAUUAGCUACUUGGUACAACUUCUACAGAUGUUUUUUUGUGAGCUCUGAGUUUCUGGAAAAGCUAAAGUUCCCUGCAGUCUCCACCUACUUCCAAAGCAGUCACCAUGGCUCGCUGUCAGCCAAGUUUCCUGCCAACAGUCCCUGUGUGGGGGAAGGAAAGAAUCAAAGAAGGACAACUGGACAAAGUAAUCUACAGACAGCUUACAACAGUGCUGCACACGAUUAAUCUGACUUCACAGUGAGACGCUGAGAAAGGUGAAGUAAGUGGACUGAGAGCCACAGCUCCCAAGGGCAGUGCUUGGAUAGGAACUCAGAUCUUUACCUUCAAAGAAAGCUACAGGACUCAGCAAACAUGCUUAGAUAUCUGCUUCAGUGUGAAACGUAUAAUGAAAGAAGACUUCAUAAGCAGCUGUUUCUUAAGAAGCUUGUGUUAUACAAAUAUGACACAGUUAAUGAACAGAACUAGAGAGCAAUCUGCUACAUCUGUCUUCAAAGGACAAGGAAGAUAGCAAUCAAUACUGUAUUUACGACGGCAUUUUUCACCUGAAAAGUUUCCACUUAUCUACCGCUUCUGUCUAAGAAAGACAGGCUUUUUUUUUACUUAAAAUUUCUCCCUUGCUGCUUACCUAUUUUAGUGGUAGCAGCAGUUGUAUAAACUUAGUAAGAAUAGUUAUUAAUGUGUAAACUGAAUUAAUUAAUAUCUCUUUGAACAAAACAAAUGGAAGUGUGCCUAACCACUGUUUCUAUCACUGGCUGAGGGAAAGAAGGCAUUUCCGUAGCUGGAGCAGGUAAUAAAAUACAGAGCCAGAGAAGAGAGCACUAUACAGGAAUCAUUUUUUAAAGGAAAGAAGACAAAGUGUGCCAAUUCCAUUUUAAAGAUGAAGGAGACAAAGAUUCUGAAGGGUAUAUAUCCAAAGAUAAUAAAAACGUGAAAUUUUCUGUCUUGGAUUCUGUAUUUUUAUCUGUAAUAUUAUAAGUGUACAUCUAAGCUAAAGUUCUAGAAUAAUCUCUAUAUGUUAAGCAUACUUAAUGCUGUCUUAGAGUCCUAA
rnacentral:lncRNA from 1 species